rnacentral:lncRNA from 1 species
CAAUUAAAGUCAAUAAAUUUAAUUAUAAUGUUUUUUUGCAUAUUCUCUGUUUUUAGUGUUUGAAACAUAUAUUUAACUUUUUUUUUAAAUGUUUAAAAUAAGUAAAUAAUCCUACAAAGGUUGAUUUGGAAUAGUAAACAUAGUCACCUUGAGAAGGCUAUUAUAGGUUUCAUGUUACUAAUAAAAUUAGUUGUACGUUAUUUUCACAAUUUGUUUUGUUUUUCAUAACUUUAACCCAUCUUAGUUUAUAUAAACUGUCAUUUUCUUUAUUUCUUUUUUUAUGAUCAUUUUUUUAAAACAACAUAUUUUGAUAUCAAAAAAUUAUAUAUUAGAAUUAUAGAUUUUGAAAAACUCAAAUAUCAAUACCUUACAAUUUAAACCAAUAAAUUUAAUCAUAUUUUAUUUUUGCAUUUUCUCUGUUUUUAGUGUUUAAAACAUGUAUAUUUAACUUCUUUUUUAAAAAAGUUUAAAAUAAGUAAAUAAUUCUACCAAGCUUGAUUUGGAAUAGUAAACAUAGUCAACUUGAGAAGGCUACUAUAAGUUUCAUGUUACUAAUAAAAGUAGUUGUACGUUAUUUUCACAAUUUGUUUUGUUUNNNNNNNNNNNNNNNNNNNNNNNNNNNNNNNNNNNNNNNNNNNNNNNNNNNNNNNNNNNNNNNNNNNNNNNNNNNNNNNNNNNNNNNNNNNNNNNNNNNNNNNNNNNNNNNNNNNNNNNNNNNNNNNNNNNNNNNNNNNNNNNNNNNNNNNNNNNNNNNNNNNNNNNNNNNNNNNNNNNNNNNNNNNNNNNNNNNNNNNNAGUUGAUUUGGAAUAGUAACAUAGUCACCUUUGGAGAGGCUACUAUAGGUUUCAUGUUACUAAUAAGUAGUUGUACCUUAUUUUCAUAUGUUUUGUUUUUCAUAACUUUAACCAUGCUUAGUUAUAUAAACUGUCAUUUUUUUAUUUCUAUUUUAUGGUCACUUUCUUUAAAACAACAUAUUAAGAUAUCAAUAAGAUUAUAUUUUAGAAAUUAUAGAUUUUGAAAAACUCAAAUAUCAAUACGUACAAUUUAAGUCAAUAAAAAUUACUAUAUGUUUUUGUUUUGUCAUUUCUCUGUUUUUUAUUUAACAUAUAUUUAACUUUUUUUUUAAAAGUUAAAAUAGUAAAUAAUUCUACAAAGUUGAUUUGGAAUAGUAAACAUAUCACCUUGAGAGAAGCUACUUUGGUGUCAUGUUACUGAUAAAAGUAGUUGUACGUUUUAUUUUCACAAAUUUGUUUUGUUUUCAUAAUUUACAUCUUAGUUUAUAAACUGUCAUUUUCUUUUUCUUUUUUAUGAAUCUUUUUUUAAAAAACAUAUUAUGAUAUCAAAAAUAUAUUUUAGGAAUUUUAGAUUUAAAAAACUCAAAUAUCAAUAUUUUACAGAUUUAAGUCUAUAGAAUUAAUCAUAAUUUCUUUGUGAUUUCUCUGUCAGUUUUUAGUCUCUUUAAAACAUAUCAUUUAAUCUUUUUUUCUAAAAAAAGUUUAAAAAAUAAAUAGAUUUUAACAACUUCGGUUGGAAUAGUAAACUUAUUAUACUGAGAUACGGAACUAUAGGUUUCAUGUUACUAAAAAAGUAGUUGUACGCUAUUUCUCAUAAUAUUCUCGUUUUUUGUUUUCAUAACUUUACCCAUCUUUAGUUAUAUAUAACUGCUCCAUUUUCUUUAUUCUAUUUAGGGUCCAUUGCUUUAAAACAAAAUAUUAAGCAUCAGAUCGAUUAUGAUUUGCUAGAAGUAUAGGUGUGGAUAUGGUAAAAACUCCUAGAAUAUCGUGAGUAGAUACAACUUACCCAAGUCUCAAUAAAUAGAUAAUGUGUCUGUUUGGUCGAUUUGUGCUCCGUGGUAUGUGGUGAACAGCAUAUUAUUUAUUUAAAAAUGUGUGUGAUAAAUAAGUACAGAUAAAUUCUACAAAGGUUGACUUGUGCUAAUAGUAAACAUAGGUCAUCUGCGGUGGAGGUAUAGCUAUUGAUUCAAGUGGUGGUCAUGAUGUUACGACAAUAAAGUAGUGUACAUUAUUUUCACCAAUUUUUGUGGUUUUUCUAUAACUUUAACCCAUCUUAGUUAUAUAACUCUCAUCAUUCUUCAUUGUUUUUAAAAACAUAUAGAUAUAUUUAGAAUUAGUUAUACUCAUUAAUACGUAAUUGUCAAUUUUACAUGUUUUCUUUCUCAUUUUUGUUUAUAGUAUAGAUGGCUGACAAGGUUGAUUGAUAGUACAAGCACGGAGGCAUAUGUUGGUCUAAUUACCAACUAAAUUAAUUCUUAUUUUAUAAUCGUUUAUGUUUUCUUGUGAAAAUGUUUUAUAAACUUCAUGCAUGGAGUAAUGCGCUGUCUUGGAACAUGAGAGACUAAUUAUUUUAUUAUAUUUAAACAAUCAAUCAAUAAAUUAUCAUAAUUUUAUUUUUGCAUUUUCUCUUUUAGUGUUUUAAAACAUAUACAUUAACUCUUUUUUAAAAAGUUUAAAAUAAGAAAUAAUUCUUACAAUCUUGUUUGGAAUGAGUAACUAGUCACCUUGAGAAGCUACUUAUAAGUUUCAUGUUUACUAAUAAAAAGUAGUUGUACGUUAUUGUUCACAAUUUGUGUUGUUUUAUAACUUUAACCCUCUUAGUUUAUACAAACUGCAUGUUCCUUUAGUUCUUUUUUAUGGUCAUUUUUAAAAAAUAUUGAUAUAUCAAUAAUAUAUUUAGAAUUUAGAGUUUUAAAAAACUCAAAUAUAAUACGUAAAAUUUAAGUCAAUAAAUUUAUCAUCAUGUUUUUUUUUGCAUUUCUAUGUUUUUAUGUUUAAAAAAAGUAAAUAAUUUUCUACAAAAGUUAAGAUUUGGAAUAGUAAACAUAGUCACCUUGAGAAGCUACUAUAGGUUUCAUGUUACUAAUAAAAGUAGUUGUACGUUAUUUUCACAAUUUGUUUUGUUCAUAACUUUACCCAUCUUAGUUAUAUAAACUGUCAUUUUCUUUAUUUCUUUUUUAUGAUAUCUUUUUAAAAACAUAUAUGAUAUCAAUAAUUUAAUUUUUAGAAUUUAGAUUUAGAAAAACUCAAAUAUCAAUAUUUUACAAUUUAAAUCUAUAAAUUUAAUCAUAAGUGUUUUUUGCAUUUUCUCUGUUUUUAGUCUUUGAAACAAUAUUAGUUAACUUUAUUUAAAAAAGUUUAAAAUAAGUAAAUAAUUCUACAAAGGUUGAUUUGGAAUAGUAAACAUAGUCACCUUGAGAAGGCUACUAUAGGUUUCAUGUUACUAAUAAAAGUAGUUGUACUGUUAUUUUCAUAAAAUUUGUUGUGUUUUUCAUAACUUUUAACCCCAUCUUAGUUUAUAAACAUGUCAUUUUCUUUUAUUUCUGAUUUGAUGGUCAUUUCUUUAAAACAACAUAUUAAGGUAUCAAGAUCAUUAUAUUUUAGAAUAAUAGAUUUUGAAAAACUCAAAUAUCAAUACGUUACAAUUAAAGUCAAUAAAUUUAAUUAUAAUGUUUUUUGCAUUUUCUCUGUUUUUAGUGUUUGAAACAUAUAUUUAACUUUAUUUUUUAAAAGUUUAAAAUAAGUAAAUAAUUUUACAAAGGUUGAUUUGGAAUAGUAAACAUAGUCACCUUGAGAAGGCUACUUUAGGUUUCAUGUUACUAAGAAAAGUAGUUGUACGUUAUUUUCACAUUUUGUUUUGUUUUUCAUAACUUUAACCCAUCUUAGUUUAUAUAAACUGUCGUUUUCUUUAUUUCUUUUUUUAUUAUCACUUUUUUAAAACAACAUAUUAUGUUAUCAAUAAAUUAUAUUUAAGAAUUUUAGAUUUAAAAAAACUCAAAUAUCAAUACUUACAAUUUAAGUCAAUAAAUUUAAUCAUAAUGUUUUUUUACCAUUUUCUCUAUUUUUAUUAUUUAAAACAUAUAUUUAACUUUAUUUAAAAAAGUUUCAAAUAAGUAAAUAAUUCUACAAAGGUUGAUUUGAAAUAGUAAACAUAGUCACCUUGAGAAGGCUACUAUAGGUUUCAUGUUACUAAUAAAAGUAGUUGUACGUUAUUUUCAAAAUUUGUUUUGUUUUUCAUAACUUUAACCCAUCUUAGUUUAUAUAAACUGUCAUUUUCUUUAUUUCUAUUGUUAUGGUCAUUUUUUGAAAACAACAUAUUAUGAUAUCAAUAAAUAAUAUUGAAGAAUUAUAGAUUUUGAAAAACUCAAAUAUCAAUACGUUACAAUUUAAAUCAAUAAAUUUAAUCAUAAUGUUUUUUUUGCAUUUUGUCCGAUUUUAGUGUUUAAAACAUAUAUUUAACUUUAUUUAAAAAAAGUUUAAAAUAAGUAAAUAAUUCUACAAAGGCUGAUUUGGAAUCGUAAACAUAGUUACCUUGAGAAGGCUACUAUAGGUUUCAUGUUACUAAUAAAAGUAGUUGUACGUUAUUUUCACAAUUUGUUUUGUUUUUCAUAACUUUAACCCAUCUUAGUUUAUAUAAAUUGUCAU